UACGUAGGGUGCGAGCGUUGCCCGGAUUUAUUGGGCGUAAAGGGCGCGUAGGCGGUGAGACACGUUUCGUUGUGAAAUCGCCCGGCUCAACUGGGGCGGGGUCAGCGGAUACGGUCUCACUUGAGCAAGCUAGGGGGCAAUGGAAUUCCCGGUGUAGUGGUGGAAUGCGUAGAUAUCGGGAGGAACACCAGUGGCGAAGGCGGUUGCCUGGGGCUUUGCUGACGCUGAUGCGCGAAAGCGUGGGGAGCGAUCCGG
rnacentral:rRNA from 1 species